UUCCUCACCGAAACCGUUCGGCAAUCUCGUCGAGGUUGAAAAUCUCCAAGUCGACUGGAGCUAUUUCAAUCGAUUGCAAAUCGCUGCACAACGGUCGUAGAAAUUCGAGGGUCAGGGUGUAGCAAGACGGCGCUGGUGGACGUUCCUAUAAAUAAUACCAACCAUAAAAUCGAACUCGAGAGAAACAGUCCUUGGAAUAUAAGGCUAGACGCGGUACCUUCCCCACAAAAUCGUUUCGCUAUCUAGGAAGUCGAACGGCUCAACGAGCAUCGACUAUUCGACGUCUGUCAUAGUAUAGGCAUGUAUGUACGUCGUCCAUGUGUCGAAGCGUGUCCGCAUGGUCAAAACAAUCCACUACAAUUCGACAUCCGGAUCUUAGGGGCAACGGGAAAGGCUUGCUGCAGUGGAAUCCCACCUCAAGGACUAAUCGACCGACACCUGUCAGCCGAUCGAAUGUCCUGGGGCCCAACGGUUCGCGCCCAACAAUCACCGACGGAUAUAAACCCGAUUGUGCAACGACGAUGACCUUCCGUCGACCCGUCAUCGCGUGCACAUCGUAACCUCGUAUCUGGGCUCGUAAACACCUUCCAAGGAGGAAUAUAACCGGAGUUAUGCAAUGGCUUUUGGCAGUCGAAGUUCCUUGCAAAAUUUAACAAUUAUUCCGGCCGGGGAAAGUUACGACCGUGGUUAUUCAGGAAUCCGUCGGAGCUGGAUCAACCGCGAUAGUACCGAGGCAUCAUCCAGGAAUCGACACUUGGCGAACGAUACGCCGAGUAACUCGUCUCUUGGUAAACACUUGACAGAUUGAUUUCCCGCUUGGCGAUGCUGGGACCGGCCGCACUGUGAUUUUCCACUUAUCGGCAACCUCGUGGUGUGCGCGAUACGUACGUUGUUUCAGGACCCAGACAAGCGGAUGAUAAUCCUUGGACCUGAAGACUUUAGUGACAAACCAUCCUCCAGGUCUGAGAAAUUGUGUGGCAACUUUAAGAGCCGACAGAGUCAAGCAGGUUUGCUGAUAGGCAUCGUGCAGCCAAUUUUUACCAACAUUUGGGGCUCCGUCGUUGAGAACAACGUCAGCCUUCCACGUUUUCAACUCUCGGGAGAUGGCGACACGACAUUUGUCCGUUGUAAUGUCUUCGGUAAUGCUGAUACAGCCGGGUAUCGGUUUUAUCGGAAAUAGAUCUAUGCCGAUGACGAUUGACGACACGGGCAUGUUCUGCCGGGCGACUUGCAUCCAACCACCCGGAGCAGCGCAGAGAUCUAUGCAUACUCUAGACUUUUGCAAGAAUUCGAAUUUACGAUUGAGUUGGAUCAACUUGAACGCCGCACGAGAUCUGAAACCUGGGUUAUGGAGCACAAGAGGUUAUGUUAAUCGUUAACGUGCGCUAGUGCUGGACGCUUGCGACAGCCGACGAUACUCAGCGAUGGGGUCUUGUGAGUUUCGAAUAAGCGUAACUUGCCAACACAUGAUAUAUCAAAGCGCGG